rnacentral:rRNA from 1 species
AUGUGUGUUCCUAAGGAUAUAGGAGGAAUGGGAUUUAGAGACUUGUGUAGCUUUAAUAAAGCACUCCUAGCUAAACAAGUUUGCCGUUUGAUUGAAAAUACUGAAUCCUUAUCUGCAAGAAUUCUCAGGGCCAAAUAUUAUCCGGACGGUAAUAUCUUAUCAGUUCAGUUGAAGAAGGGAUCUUCUUAUGUUUGGCAAAGCAUAUACUCAGGUAUUGAAACUAUUAAUCAAGGAUGUACUUGGAGAAUUGGGAAUGGUUUAACAGUAAAUAUUUGGGAUGAUCCAUGGAUCCCUACUAGUAGCUCCAGGAAGAUAGUUACCAUGCGAGGUUCCUCUCUCCUCACAAUGGUACAUGAGCUUAUUGAUUCGGGUACUGGAUAUUAGGACGAGACAUUAAUUAGAGAUAUUUUUUCGGGAGUGGAUGCAGACAGAAUCCUUCAAAUCCCAUUGUCAAACGGAGAUAUGGAAGAUUUCGUUGGUUGGCAAUAUACAAAGUCACAUAAUUUUACUGUACAAUCAGCCUACUACAUUGAGUGGAACUGUAGGUAUGGCAGAAAGUUUGAAGGACGUAACAUACAAGGUGGUUCGGCUGCUAACCCAAUUUGGAGAAUAAUAUGGAAAUUGAAAAUCCCAGGGAAAGUCAAGGUUCAUGCGUGGCAAAUGCCACAUGGUGCUAUUCCAUGUAAAUCUAUUCUUGCUAACAAGCAUAUGAAAAUUCAUACUGCAUGUCCUGUGUGUCAGGUGUAUACUGAAGACAUUCGGCAUGCUUUAUUUGAAUGUGCCCGAGCGCAGAUGGUUUGGGAAAAUCUGGGUUUAUUGGAAAAAGUUGAAAGAACUCUGAAUGUUGAUAGGGCCGGUUAA